rnacentral:misc_RNA from 1 species
UGUGAAUUAGUUUGAUCCAGAAGCCCUUCCAUUACUCUCUCAUACAGAAAUUGAAGAAAGACUGGAAGAUGUACGUCUAGAGUGUGGAAGGUUUGGCACUGUUAAAUCUGUUAAUGUUGUCAAGUGCGAUGUAACUCCCAUGUCCACCUUAAUAGCAUGUGGAGUCGAUGAGGAUAUGGAAUCUGCUAGGUCUCAGCAAGACUUGGGAUGUAGUGAAACAAAUGCCAAAGCAGAGACGAUGGAAGAGACUGUGGACUGUAAAAUUGUGGAAGGCAAUGGCGGGGAG